rnacentral:rRNA from 1 species
GAUGAACGCUAGCGGCAGGCCUAAUACAUGCAAGUCGGACGGGAUUUGGGAGCUUGCUCCUAAUGAGAGUGGCGCACGGGUGCGUAACACGUAUGUAACCUACCUUAAUCAGGGGGAUAGCCUCUCGAAAGAGAGAUUAACACCGCAUAACAUAUUUUUAUGGCAUCGUAGAAAUAUCAAAUAUUUAUAGGAUUAAGAUGGGCAUGCGGCACAUUAGCUAGUUGGUAAGGUAACGGCUUACCAACGCUACGAUGUUUAGGGGAUCUGAGAGGAUGACACCCCGCCAUGGUACAUGGACACGGACCAGACGCCUACGGGAGGCAGGCGUAAGGAAGAUUGGUCAAUGGGCGCAAGGCUAAACCAGCCAUGCCGCGUGCAAGAAGACGGCCCUAUGGGUUGUAAACUGCUUUUGUACCGGAAUAAACCCUUUUACGUGUAGAAGGCUGAAUGUACGGUAAGAAUAAGGAUCGGCUAACUCCGUGCCAGCAGCCGCGGUAAAAC